UCCCUCCAGCAAGCCCCCCAGCUCUGUCUGCUGUCGUGCAUGUGAAUUCUCCCAGGUAAUUUCCACUGACUUAUUGAGGCUUGGGUUUCUCUGCCGGUUGAAGGGUAUGCCUCUUUCUUAACCUGAAAAGCCCACCGGGGAGAGAAUCUCAUCUCUUUGCUUAAUAACCCUGCUCCCAGCUGUCUUCGGUAAUGUUCCUCCCAGGACUGUCUCUGUCGGUGUGGCCCCUGGGGUUGCAGCCAAUCCCCAUCCAGAAGACAUGGAGAAUUAAUUCCUCCCUAAAAUAAGGUGGGUUCUGAAUGUGGCGGGUCCUUUGCUGUCAAUGUCUUAGACACACAUCUGGCCGGCCGUGGAGGCAGGCGUAGGGGACGCUGUCCGUUCUGUUGCCAUGACACCAGGCAGUGUUUCCAUAACACAGCCUUCCCGCUUUCUGGGCAAGCCAACUUGGACGGUUUGCCCUGCAUCGUGCUAGUCAGGAUGGAAAGGGAUCAAGGGUCCUUGGGAUUGUGAUUCUGAUUUUUGCAUGUGGAAGUUUGCCUCUGGCUCUAAGCAGGCUCCAGAUCUAAAGGGGAUGAACCCAAAGGAAGACACGGAGUUGCUGGGAAGGUGUUGAAUGAAUGCUCCACCUUCUCUCCUUUGCUUUGCGGGGCGUGCUGAGUGUGUCAGCGGCUGGGAUUCGCGGGUCUCGGAGCUGCAGAGAGCAGUGGCAACGCACCAGCCACGGGGAGCUUGUGCGCACCACCGAGAAGCGGCUUGCCUCUGUCGUGACUGGAGCGUGGAGAGGAUGGCUUGGAAUCCACAUGCGGGCUCAGAUCUUAUUUAAAUCAGCCAUUUUUUUUACUAGAAUAUCGAGUAUCCAGGGAAGAAAAUUCACUAACUGCGUUUACUUAGAACCAGAAAAAACCUUGACUUCAGCUGAGAGGGGUCCUCCUGCUGGUGACUCUAAGAAUGUGCGGGGCUGCCGGACCUCCACAGCCACCUCCCCCGCUGCCCUAAGGGACAGGCUGCCCCUUCCCAGUGUGCCAGCGUGUCCUCUUCCCCAGGUUGGCCCCAUCUCACCAUUCCUCCGUCAGUCCUCGUUGGCUUCCUCAUCCAUCCGAGACACCACAAUGGAGAGGAUGUCUGAAUGUUUUUGUCCAAACCUUCCCAGCUGAUUGCAUUACCCAGAAAGCCCAGGAUGGCGGAAACCCCCAGUGCCUUCUCGAGACCGUCGGUCACCACGUUUCGGUAUCGGCAGCCCCCAGACAUCCGAUCUGCGCACCAGCGGUCCAGGCAGAGAGGCUGGCUUGUUAGCCUUAAAGUGACUCUCAUGAAUGAGGUCCUACCACGCUGAGCCUGGCUCACGAGUUCCGCUGCAAAGUGAGGGAGCCCAGGGAACAUGAAUUAGGAGUUGAAUUUUUCGCUGUGGUCCAUGGGCCGGCCUCGCCAGUGCAAGGGCACCGUGCAGAAACCUUGUGUUGAUGGGAGAAGCACCUCUGUGAGCGAUGCCUGCCUCUGGCUACAUCUUCCACUGAUCUCCUCACCUUUUCUGAAACAGUCCAGUGAGUCCCGGAGAGGCACGCUGGGUGUGGAUGUGCCGAAACUCAGCAAGAGGAAAGAAAAGAUGUCUGGUUACCCAAGGGUUUCCCAAACUUGUCAUUCAUAUACCACGUACCACCUUCCUGUUUUUCUGACCAUAAACUGGCACUGCCUUUACAGUGAUUUACUUAAUAUUUUCCUUUAAGCUCGCUUGGUAAACUUUAUGAGUUUACUUGGCAAA